AUGGACAUUUGUGUCGCCUAUGAUGUUCUGCAGUUCAUGGUUCACUAUUUGGGGAGUGACUGCAAACCUGUGGCUCUCAAUCUUAACAUCUUUUCUGCUGUGGCCCUUUGUUUUAAACAGAAUUUACCCCUGCUGUUCCUUCAAAACAUUACCAGAUUUAUGGUCGGUAGAGAAUAUGAAGCUGAAGGAAUUGCCAAGGAUGGUGCCAAGAUGGUGGCUGCUGUAGCCUGUGCCAAAGUGCCUAAGAUAACUGUCAUCACUGGGGGAAUCUUACGGGGCUGGAAACUAUGGGAUGUGUGGCAGAGCAUAUAGCCCAAGCUUCCUCUACCUGUGGCCAAACGCUCACAUCUCAGUGAUGGGAGGAGAGCAGGCAGCCAAUGUGUUGGCCACAGUAGCAAAGGACCAAAGAGCACGUAAAGGGAAACAAUUCUCCAGUGCUGAUGAAGCAGCCUUAAAAGAGCCCAUCAUUAAGAGGUUUGAAGAGGAAGGAGACCCUUACUACUGCAGUGCAAGGCUGUGGGAUGAUGGGAUUAUUGAUCCAGUGAACACCAGACUGGUGCUGGGUCUCAGUCUUAGUGCGGCCCUCAACGCACCAAUCCAGAAGACUGACUUUGGCAUUUUGAGGAUGUAACUGGAAUAUAAGGCGUCUUCUAUGGGACAUGUACCAAAAAUU